rnacentral:rRNA from 1 species
UACGUAGGUGGCAAGCGUUGUCCGGAUUUACUGGGCGUAAAGAGCGCGCAGGCGGUCGGAUAAGUCGAAUGUGAAAGCCCCCGGCUCAACUGGGGAGGGUCAUUCGAUACUGUUCGACUCGAAGGCAGGAGAGGGAAGUGGAAUUCUCGGUGUAGAGGUGAAAUUCGUAGAUAUCGAGAGGAACACCGGUGGCGAAGGCGGCCAACUGGACGAAUACUGACGCUGAGACUCGAAAGCGUGGGGAGCAAACAGG